rnacentral:rRNA from 1 species
GACGAACGCUGGCGGCGUGCUUAACACAUGCAAGUCGAACGGAAAGGCCCUGCUUUUGUUGGGUGCUCGAGUGGCGAACGGGUGAGUAACACGUGAGUAACCUGCCCUUGACUUUGGGAUAACUUCAGGAAACUGGGGCUAAUACCGGAUAGGAGCUCCUGCUGCAUGGUGGGGGUUGGAAAGUUUCGGCGGUUGGGGAUGGACUAGCGGCUUAUCAGCUUGUUGGUGGGGUAGUGGCUUACCAAGGCUUUGACGGGUAGCCGGCCUGAGAGGGUGACCGGCCACAUUGGGACUGCGAUACGGCCCAGACUCGUACGGGAGGCAGCAGUGGGAAAUCUUGCACAAUGGGCGGAAGCCUGAUGUAGCAACGCCGCGUGCGGGAUGACGUCCUUCGGGUUGUAAACCGCUUUCGCCUGUGACGAAGCGUGAGUGACGGUAAUGGGUAAAGAAGCACCGGCUAACUACGUG